rnacentral:lncRNA from 1 species
UCUUGCUGAGGACCCAGGCCUCUUCCCUAUGAGUCCCUUUUCCAUGUUUUCUUUUGUUUUUUUUGUUUUUUUUUUUGUUUUUGUUUUUUUUUUUGCUUUGUGAUACAGUGCAUUUAAAAAGGCUAUCCUGGAACUCCAAAGGAAGACGAACAGCGUCAACUAACCUAGAUCCUUGGGGCUCUCAGAGACUGAACCACCAACCAAAGAACAUACACGUAGUGUUGCUGAUCUCCACUAGCGGUGAUGCCAGAGAGAAACUCAACAAAGAACUGCUCUUUAGGGUCCUGUGGCAGCUUGCUGCUUCCACAACCUUGACUUGGGCCAGUUGGUGAGCCUUUCAGUUUCCGCAGGAUUGAACUUCGCCUGGUGUCUACCCGCAGAAAGGACGGACUGUAGCUGCUGGUUCGUGCCUGGUGUCUGCCUGCCUAGAGGACUUGCCUGCAGCUGCUGGGUUAUAUUUUGUGUUUGCUACAGGACUGAGCUGCUGCCCAAGAAGAUGGAGCUUGUCCCCCAAAAGAACUAUUGCUGAACAGGUCCACUUCCCCCAUAUCCUAAUAACUUUUCUCUUCUACAGUCUCUGCUGGUGGUAGGCUGGAGGAGAGGUUGAACCAUUAUUAAAAGCAGGUUGCAAAAAUUUUAUGCCUACAGCUAUCCAUAUGACCAUGGCUAUAGAACUAUCACCAGAUUCUGGUAGGCUCAUCACU